GGGUUGUGAGGUUAAGCGACUAAGCGUACACGGUGGAUGCCCUGGCAGUCAGAGGCGAUGAAGGGCGUGCUAAUCUGCGAUAAGCGCCGGUAAGGUGAUAUGAACCGUUAUAACCGGCGAUACCCGAAUGGGGAAACCCAGUGUGAUUCGUCACACUAUCAUUAACUGAAUCCAUAGGUUAAUGAGGCGAACCGGGGGAACUGAAACAUCUAAGUACCCCGAGGAAAAGAAAUCAACCGAGAUUCCCCCAGUAGCGGCGAGCGAACGGGGAGGAGCCCAGAGCCUGAAUCAGCAUGUGUGUUAGUGGAAGCGUCUGGAAAGGCGCGCGAUACAGGGUGACAGCCCCGUACACAAAAGCGCAUGUGCUGUGAGCUCGAUGAGUAGGGCGGGACACGUGGUAUCCUGUCUGAAUAUGGGGGGACCAUCCUCCAAGGCUAAAUACUCCUGACUGACCGAUAGUGAACCAGUACCGUGAGGGAAAGGCGAAAAGAACCCCGGCGAGGGGAGUGAAAAAGAACCUGAAACCGUGUACGUACAAGCAGUGGGAGCNNNNNNNNNNNNNNNNNNNNNNNNNNNNNNNNNNNNNNNNNNNNNNNNNNNNNNNNNNNNNNNNNNNNNNNNNNNNNNNNNNNNNNNNNNNNNNNNNNCUAAUGUUGAAAAAUUAGCGGAUGACCUGUGGCUGGGGGUGAAAGGCCAAUCAAACCGGGAGAUAGCUGGUUCUCCCCGAAAGCUAUUUAGGUAGCGCCUCGUGAAUUCAUCUCCGGGGGUAGAGCACUGUUUCGGCUAGGGGGCCAUCCCGGCUUACCAACCCGAUGCAAACUGCGAAUACCGGAGAAUGUUAUCACGGGAGACACACGGCGGGUGCUAACGUCCGUCGUGAAGAGGGAAACAACCCAGACCGCCAGCUAAGGUCCCAAAGUCAUGGUUAAGUGGGAAACGAUGUGGGAAGGCCCAGACAGCCAGGAUGUUGGCUUAGAAGCAGCCAUCAUUUAAAGAAAGCGUAAUAGCUCACUGGUCGAGUCGGCCUGCGCGGAAGAUGUAACGGGGCUAAACCAUGCACCGAAGCUGCGGCAGCGANNUGCUGGAGGUAUCAGAAGUGCGAAUGCUGACAUAAGUAACGAUAAAGCGGGUGAAAAGCCCGCUCGCCGGAAGACCAAGGGUUCCUGUCCAACGUUAAUCGGGGCAGGGUGAGUCGACCCCUAAGGCGAGGCCGAAAGGCGUAGUCGAUGGGAAACGGGUUAAUAUUCCCGUACUUGGUGUUACUGCGAAGGGGGGACGGAGAAGGCUAUGUUGGCCGGGCGACGGUUGUCCCGGUUUAAGCGUGUAGGUGUGUGUUCCAGGUAAAUCCGGUUCACUUUAACACUGAGGCGUGACGACGAGGCACUACGGUGCUGAAGCAACAAAUGCCCUGCUUCCAGGAAAAGCCUCUAAGCAUCAGGUAACAUCAAAUCGUACCCCAAACCGACACAGGUGGUCAGGUAGAGAAUACCAAGGCGCUUGAGAGAACUCGGGUGAAGGAACUAGGCAAAAUGGUGCCGUAACUUCGGGAGAAGGCACGCUGACACGUAGGUGAAGUGAUUUACUCAUGGAGCUGAAGUCAGUCGAAGAUACCAGCUGGCUGCAACUGUUUAUUAAAAACACAGCACUGUGCAAACACGAAAGUGGACGUAUACGGUGUGACGCCUGCCCGGUGCCGGAAGGUUAAUUGAUGGGGUCAGCGCAAGCGAAGCUCCUGAUCGAAGCCCCGGUAAACGGCGGCCGUAACUAUAACGGUCCUAAGGUAGCGAAAUUCCUUGUCGGGUAAGUUCCGACCUGCACGAAUGGCGUAAUGAUGGCCAGGCUGUCUCCACCCGAGACUCAGUGAAAUUGAACUCGCUGUGAAGAUGCAGUGUACCCGCGGCAAGACGGAAAGACCCCGUGAACCUUUACUAUAGCUUGACACUGAACAUUGAGCCUUGAUGUGUAGGAUAGGUGGGAGGCUUUGAAGUGUGGACGCCAGUCUGCAUGGAGCCGACCUUGAAAUACCACCCUUUAAUGUUUGAUGUUCUAACGUGGACCCGUAAUCCGGGUUGCGGACAGUGUCUGGUGGGUAGUUUGACUGGGGCGGUCUCCUCCUAAAGAGUAACGGAGGAGCACGAAGGUUGGCUAAUCCUGGUCGGACAUCAGGAGGUUAGUGCAAUGGCAUAAGCCAGCUUGACUGCGAGCGUGACGGCGCGAGCAGGUGCGAAAGCAGGUCAUAGUGAUCCGGUGGUUCUGAAUGGAAGGGCCAUCGCUCAACGGAUAAAAGGUACUCCGGGGAUAACAGGCUGAUACCGCCCAAGAGUUCAUAUCGACGGCGGUGUUUGGCACCUCGAUGUCGGCUCAUCACAUCCUGGGGCUGAAGUAGGUCCCAAGGGUAUGGCUGUUCGCCAUUUAAAGUGGUACGCGAGCUGGGUUUAGAACGUCGUGAGACAGUUCGGUCCCUAUCUGCCGUGGGCGCUGGAGAACUGAGGGGGGCUGCUCCUAGUACGAGAGGACCGGAGUGGACGCAUCACUGGUGUUCGGGUUGUCAUGCCAAUGGCACUGCCCGGUAGCUAAAUGCGGAAGAGAUAAGUGCUGAAAGCAUCUAAGCACGAAACUUGCCCCGAGAUGAGUUCUCCCUGAGACUUAGAGUCUCCUGAAGGAACGUUGAAGACGACGACGUUGAUAGGCCGGGUGUGUAAGCGCAGCGAUGCGUUGAGCUAACCGGUACUAAUGAACCGUGAGGCUUAACCUUACAACGCCGAAG
rnacentral:rRNA from 1 species